ACGCUCGACACCUACGGGAGGUAGCAGUGAGGAAUAUUGGUCAAUGGACGCAAGUCUGAACCAGCCAUGCUGCGUGCAGGAUGACGGCUCUAUGAGUUGUAAACUGCUUUUGUACGAGGGUAAACGCAGAUACGUGUAUCUGUCUGAAAGUAUCGUACGAAUAAGGAUCGGCUAACUCCGUGCCAACAGCCGCGGUAAUCUGAGCGGGCUGGCAAGGC
rnacentral:rRNA from 1 species